UCCUGAUCUUGCUAUUUGUGUAUAAUGCAUCUUCAUAUGGCAUUGAUGUUCUUCCGAUUUGCAGGCAUAUCAAGAUCAAGGAUAUUUAAACUUGUUUCUUUUAUUGAUGAAAGAUUUCAGAUGCUUCUGUAGAUGAAUUUCUGGUGUUAAUUGUCCCAAAGAUGGAACGAUUUGUUCCACGGAAUUUAUCUCCUUAGUUGCAUUCCAUUUACAGUUCAUGUUCAUGGCCUUGCUGUGGUUGCACGGUGGUUCGUGGGGAACAGGAGCAAAUACCUUUGCUACAACCAAGGUCUUGACAAACCAGUCAGGGAGAGAUAGGAUCGUUUUGCAGGGGUUGUUAUGUUCUGUCCCCCGUGCCGCUGGACGAGAAAGAGUAGAGGAUCCAGGAAAGCAACCGCAGGAGCCGGAGAAGACGUCCCCAGGGCUUCUACGAGGACCAAAAGCAUUCCUUUCAGCAAUCUGGGGUUGUUAAGUAGAGGGUCGGGAUUGCCCUGGGCAGAUGCUUAAGUUCCUGGAUGUAAACGCACACUUGCCUACAUGGGCCAAAAUAUUAUUUGAGAUAAUGAUACUUGUUUUGCAUAUUUGCAUCUCGAAGAAGCUUGCCCACUAUUGUAGGUCAACAUUUUCUUGCUUGCUUGUGGAAAAACUGGUUCUCGUUCAGUUAUGUGUGUCAGUCUGAUAGAAGAUGGACACCCCUCUUCAAGUUGGUUUAUGGGCUUGCGGAGUGUGAGAAGUAAGUUACUACUGGAUCCACUUUCUUGUCACUAGCCUUGCUUGACAUGUUCAUUUCUCACGCUACACUUACCAUCAGAAUUAUGUGAUUACAUGGAGAUAUACAUCAGUGCUUGGCAGUUAUUAACAUUAUGGAAGAAACUUCUAAUUAUCUUGAUUAUCUUGCUGCCACUAACUGUGUUGUACUGAUAACACUGAUAGGCUUAACUGAUGUAUUCAGGUAUAGCUGUCAAUAACUUUUAUCUGGACUUCUCAGAAAUUGUUCCCUAGCAAUCGAAUGAUUAUGUAUUGCAUGGUUUGAUUUCUCAAAUCAUUCUGUGGUAUGCACGGUUCAAAUUUUCCAUUUGGACAGCAGAGCUAGCCCACAGUGGUAGUAAAAAGCGGAGUACUCUUUUUAUGACUGACCUAUGCGUGUUAUUCACAUUACGACAGACUGUUCUAGCUGUAAUUAUGAAUUUGGUGUUUUUGUCGAUCUUGUCUGCUUUUGUCGUGGAUACUGCCUCUAAACUUCAGGUGGGUUGUAUUGCUGAUGCCUUAGAAUAUGUAUUUUGAUGUGAACUAAUGUCUCUUGUGUGUUCUCCAGUGUUGAUCUUUUGGGACUAAUUUUUUGUAACUGUUUAUAGAGAUGUUUAAUUAGUUCCACAGACAUGCAUACAUGAUUUGCGAAGAAAUUACUUUCUCUGCUUUGUUCUUUAAAGAUGUAUUUUCAAUGGCUAUUUAAUAUAGAUGCUUCAUUAGUUGCAUAAGCAUAUAUGAUUCUAUGAGCAAAUUAUCUUCACUGAUCUAUUUUGGAGAGAUGUCUGAUUAGCUGCACAAGCAUACAUGGUUCCGUAGGUAAUUUGUUUUACCCUGAUCAUCUUGCUAUCCAGUUGUGUUGGUAUGGUCUGAAACAGAUUCACAAGUAUUUAUGAUGAUCGUUUGCAUGGUGGGUCGUGCUAGCAAUGUGCUUUGCAUAUACACGAUUCAAAUAUUUGUUAGGUGUUUUAGUUUACACAUUUCUCCUGAAAAUCUGUAUAUGUGUAUGCAGCCAUUUUUGAAUUGGCUAUGAUUCUUUUUAGUAUUUUAGUUUACACAUUUCUCUUGAGAAUCUUCACAUCGAACUGUAAUAGUAUGUAUAAUAUAGGUUUGUAAUUUUUCCAUUACUUGGUUCUUGCCCAGGUCUUCUGUUUCUAUACCAUACUGUUCUCGUGUCAUUCCCGUUAGUUUUUAUAGGGCCUGCAGAUCAGCUCAGUUUAUAUAUAUAUGCUUUUACUCCUGAACACAGUUUAAUGAUGUUCAUUCUUUCAGUUUACGAAAAUCUCUGCCUUAUAGGGCCGGUUCAUAUUGACAUGGAGGAGGCACAGAGGUUUAUUGCUUCUGUUUGUGGGAUGGCCUUGAGGGGAGACCAAAGCAAACAUCAACAUGUUCAAGGUACAUACUGAAGGAUGUUCUGAGGCUAGCACCUGGUUUAGAAGUUUUGAAAUUCACAACAAUACCUCAUAAUUUUGAUUUGAUAUCCAGAAUGCUAAUUGAAGAAUGAGCCUAUGAACUGCAUUGUAUUUUGUAAUAUAUCCUUAUAUAUGGUGCUUGUGGCAUUUUUCUUGCAAUUAUAAGUUUAAAUUUAUGGGUAUUUAUAGAGUCCCCCUUUCUUUUUCCGCAAGGGGCAGUAGCUGUGCCAUUCGGUUUGAAGGACAAAGAGUUGAUCACAAAGGGGUAGCAUUUAGGAUAUAUAUACAAGAGUAUAGAACCAAAUUAUAUGAUGUAAUUGACCACUAUUUUUUAUUAACUUCUCUUACACAA